rnacentral:tRNA from 1 species
UGUUCUGUGGCUUAGUUGAUUAAAGCACCGAACUAGGGAUAUGGAGUCGUGGGUUCGAAUCCCACCAAAACAC